rnacentral:lncRNA from 1 species
AAAUAAAUAAAUAAAUAAAUAAAACAUUAAAUAUAAAUAAUAAUAAAAAGCCACAAACCUCAAAUCAUCUAAUUAUCAAUACAGUUACACAAAUCAUAAAUCAAGCCACCCAUUUAAGAUAUCGUUGCUAAAGGGCUUGUAUGAACAACAAGAUAUUCAUCUACAGCCCCAAAUGAUUCUUAAGGGUAAGGAAGGGUGGCAAUGUGAUUAUGAGCCACAGUUCCAAACCACAGUUUGCCCUUUGCUUCCCUAACUUCACUCACAAGUUUCAUAACGGCACCCUUUCGAUCCUCGAGAACUUCCAAAGUUUCCCCCUUCUCAUUGAAGAGGGAGAUCAAUGUGUACAUCUUCAUCCCCAUAAAUUGCGCUAAGUAGGUCAUUCGGAUCGGCAAAAGAAAGUAUACACUUCGUAUCCAUGGAUUGUGAGAGAGGACUUCUUAUGCUGGGGUCCUGCAACAAUCUAUGGCAACCCAGAAUUGGCCUUUCUCAUUUAUUCUUAUGUUGUCUGGAAAACCAGGAAGGUCAGCAACAAGUUCCACUGUCCCAUUUUUAGGACCCUCUAGCCAAUAUUUCAUUAGCCUGCAAAAAAUGAAUCAACCAGUAGAAAAUUUUUUAGGACCCUCUACCCAAGGUACUAGAUCAAAUUGGAAUAAUUUAUGAUGCUUAAUCACUUAGCAUAAGCUCUAUUUCAUGUUUACAUAAACUAAUGUAUUUGAAUAUGCACCAGAGGAGAAGCAAUCUGCAUUUCAUCAAACAUUGUUUGUUUUUAUGUGUAUGUCAAUGCUGUGUCUUCGUCGAGAUCAACAUGAACAAUGGAAAUGCCAUCAGGACAAGCCUUCUAGAAGGUAUUGUUCUUCCUAUGUUGUCUAUAACCAAAGGGUUUUUAGUUUCUGUGUCUGAUUAUGUAAUUUUUUAUUUUUUAUUUAUAAAAAAAACCGAAGUGUGAAGGUUUGCCGCUGCCAAUUACCCUGUGAUAAUCCUUUCUACUCAAGUGAGCCACCAAAGAAGGAUAGUACAGACACGCCUCUAGCAUCUUGUUUAACUUUGCAUUUAAAGUUGCUAGCUUUAUUUUCCACCUUCUUUUACUUAUGAUCUCUUCCAUUGGCAGAAUACAACUCUUCAUUCUUGAUUAUUGAUGGCACACUGUAGUUCCUUGUGGCAAGUAUAAAGAAAGCAAUUGCAGAUGUUGGAUCUGGAAAUGCUGUGGCUUUUGCAACUGGGAAAGUAAAGAUUCUUAGAUACUCUGUGAGCGCUCAAUUCUUUGGUGUCAUUCUAGCGCCUAGCCUUUCUUGAUCAUUUCUAGAUAAUAUUGGGAGAAAGAAGAGAUAAAUUUCUCUUUCACCUAAUUUUAUUUGUUUAUAAUCUUAGCUUUUUUUUCACCUGUCAUUUUGAUUUAUUUACAGGGAUGAUGGAGUAGACUUCAGUUGUGCAUCAUUUGUAUGUUUGGAUGAGAGGAAGGCUUGGAUUAAGGGUACUAGAUGUAGGUCUUGUUAGGAGAAGAUUGUACUACUUAAUUACCAUGUAUUAAUUGAAUAUUUAUAUUUAAUUGGUAGCAAGUAUGUAUGUCGUAGGAAUAAAGAUUGGUUAAUUUUGUAAUAAUUAUUGAAGUUUCAAGUUUUAUGAAGGAAAUAAUUUUUGAGUGUAUAUUCAUUAAUAAAGCAUUAUAGUUGUUUUUCUAGUUAAAAUUGUUGUAUAGAAUCAAAGGAAACAAAAAAAAAAAACAAAAACUACAAUGUACCAAUGUGGGAACUUAUAAGACGACAAAUUUAAGGACGAUGGUUUUAUUGUAGAAACCGUCGUUUUUACUAAAAUUAACGACAGUUUUAGUUUAGAACCGUCAUCUUUAUUGAUAUGAACGAUGCUUUUAUUAUAAACCGAUGUCUUUGGAUAUAAUAAAUGACGGUUCUAUUAGACAAACUGUCGUCUUUACAUCUAUAGACAACGGUAUUUUAGAAAAACGUCGUCUUUACAAUUAAUAGACGACGGUUUGGAAUAAAAGCGUCUUCUUUACGAAUAAUAGACGACGGUGAAUCACCGUCGUAGUUUUGACCUUCAAAAGAUGGCGGUCGAUUUAACGACGGUUUUCAAAAGAAAAAGACGACGAUUUUUCCUUGUCGUCUAUUUCAAUUUUUGUACUAGUAAAUAAAACUCCUUGACUAAUUAUGAAACUCACGUCAAAACUAUAUAUCGGAAAGUUAUAUUGUUAGGUCAUAAAAUUAAAACAUAUGAUAAAAUAGCGAUUGGCUCGAAAUAGCGCCACAAUGGUAUCCCUAAUAUAAAUAAAUUUUUCUCGUCAAGAUAACAUCUAGCUGGACAUGGAAGUUUUUGUCCUGACAAGGCGCACUUGCAUGUGAAUCCCACCCACCUACUCUCAGGAGUUGCCGCAUAUGGCAGGCAGACCCCUAUACAAGAACUUCUCCGCUUGGAGUUGUUCCAAGUGACUUGAGUUGUUUCUUUUAGAGUGCAUUUGGAUGAGGAAAUUUAAAAGUAAAAAGGAUUUCAUAAAUGAUGGAAUUUAAAAUGACGGAAAUUAAUGUUCUAGAAUUUGUAAAGUUUCUUGUUUGGGUGACUGAUUUAAAACAUGGAAUUUAACCUUUAUUUGUAAAGUUAUCUUUUUUUUAAAAUUCAAUCUCUUGCGAUUUUAGAAAUGACGACUUUUAUAUAGAAUUUAAACUUGGGAUUUAUGAUCUCCAAAUUCCAUAUUUUUUUCCACGCGGAAUUUCUAAAUUUCUAUGUUUUUUUUAUCAAAACACCAGAAUUGGUUCAUGUCAAUUUAGAAAUUCUUAGUUUUGUCAAAAUCCCAAGUUUAUUUCCCUCAUCCAAAUGCACUGUUUUCUUGUGUUUCUUUUCUAGAUUUUUGAAAGGUACGCAUAGAUGCUAAAUUCCUUUCUUAUGAGCAUAAUAAUCUGGCAAACAAAAAUCUUAUGAAAACAACUAGUGUAUAUAUAUAUAUACAGAGAGCUUCCAUUGAGGGAUCCCUCAAAUAAGCUUAUUUGAGGGAUACCCCUUGUAGGCCCCACUCCGGAUUGUAUUUCACUAAUCCAAACCGUCUAUUUUGUAGAUACUCAUUCAAAGAUCAUCCCUACAAAAAAUCACUUGAAUCCGAUAUCAUUUAACCACUCAAUUAAGUUAUUGAAAUUUUAGCAUUUUCUUGAAGUACCGUGUUCAUUGAUUUUGUAAGACACAAUUGGAUGUCGAAACGGUUUCCGAUUUGUCUAAUUUUUUGUUAGGAUGAUCUAUGAAUGAAGACCUAAAAAAUAGAUGGUUUGGAUCAUUGGAAAAAAAAUUGUAUGGUACCCUAAAGGGCGUUCCUCAAAUAAUUUUAUUUGAGGGAUCCCUCAAUAGAAGGGGACUGUAUAUAUAUAUAUAUAUAUAUAUAUAUUUGGGUCUGAAUUUAACUCUAGUUUUUGUUGAUCGAGAUCUUCUAUGGCUGGCUUUGUCUUGUUCAAAGAAAGCAAAAGGCAAUCACUCUUGUUAAUAUAUAAUUUUUUUUUCUCUGACUUUUUUUUAUUGUGAAAAUGAUUGGUAAAGGCUUUUCGGUGCCUUAAAGAAGCUCUCAUGCUGGCCUACAUUAACAAAGCAAAAUUGGUUGGCUCGUCCACUUUUGCAAUAACUAUUACAUGGAGAUGGAGGUUGUCUAACGAAAGCAUAUCCUAAUACCAUGACCUGGCUUCUAGGUUCUAACUACACAUUAUAUAAUUGUGUGAGUCGCCUUGGAGAAAAUACCCUUUCGCUGUUUCGCCUAUAACUAUAUAAUGUGAGAUUAUUUCUUGGUUUAGGAUUCCUCCCAUAUUAUUGAGAAUAAUAUGAUCAAAGACUUGUUGUAAUUCUGUUUAUUAUCAAUACAUCGUUUCUCUUAAAAAUAAAAAAUAAAAAUUGUAGAACAUUGCAUAUGACAUCAUUGACUAAUAUUAUAUUGUUUGAUCAUAAUAUUUUUUUAUGAAUAGUUGAUGAGAUGCAUAUGUCAUAAUAUUAUAUUCAAUCAUUGACUAAUAUGUAUAUAUAUAUAUUGAAUAGUUGAGAUGCACUACUUAAUUGGAGUCGUGAUUGGGUGUCGGGAAUGAGGUGUGAGGUUGAUGAGUUUUUUUUUUUGGUUGGGUGUGUAUUUAGGGGUAGUUUGGGAAGAUAUGGGGUUUUCUUAGAAAUUGUGGAAAUUUGAAUUAGAAGUUGAGGUGAACUUAGAAUAUUGGAUGAACAAAGAGAAGUGCGAGGUUUAAAUUUUUUUUUUUUAAUUUUUAAUUUUUUGCUUUCACUAUAGACUAAACACCGAAAAAUAAAUAUUUUCAUAUAUGUUUUUACCUUUGCAAGUGACUCACAUCCAUCAAUGCAUUGUGAAUAUAUACCUCAAUUGACGACCCACAAGCCACUAUUUGCAUACAGUAUUUAGGGUUUGCAUACAGUAUUUAGGGUUUGUGAAGAGAAGAUGAGUGAUGCAGGAGCAUAUUGGUGGAUCAAGAUAGAUAUUUUAUAUUUAAUUAGUUAUUUCAUGAUAUAUUGUUAUUUUCUUAUUUAGGUAGUUUUAGGAUAUCUUUUAUUAUUUACGUGUGAUUUUAUAAUUAAUUAGUUUACUUUUGGACCAAGUAGCCUUGGUGCCCAAGUCUUGUAAAGCCUAUAAAUAAGGCUAAUGUAAUAGUUAUAGGGGAGAUAUGCUGAUGAUUAAUAAAAUAGUUUCUUUGUGGCAUGGAUUUGCUACAAUAUAUGUGAGUUUGCACUAGCCCUAGAUUUCGGUGCUCGUGUAUGUGGUUUGUGACCUGUGUCCGGAUCCCGAUCCCCAUCAAUUGGUAUCAGAGCUAUGGCUCAAGAUUUGCUAUAUUGGGGAGGUUUUUGGAUGGAGGGUCGUUUUAACAACUACAACGACAUGGAGGAAAUUAGGAGGAUGCUACGGCAACUUACAGAACGCAUUGCUCGCAUUGAAGCUCGAACCCAGAUAGGUAAGAGUUCUGACGGGGAGGGAUGUAUGAACCCUUAUCUGAACCGAGUAGCUCGCAUCGACACUCUAAGCCGUGAGAGUCUCGACGGGGAGUACGAGGGAGAUAGCCCUUUUCAUUAUUGCGCUCCGCUGUGUGAGUCAAGUGAAGAGGGGCACGGUUAUUCUCAUUGUGCCUUUGAAGGUAUAAAUGAAUUUGAUAAUUUUGGUGCAUCUUGUUAUUCAUCAAAGUUAUUAAAUUUAGGUUUACCUCCAAUAUUUGAUCCUUGCAACUGUGAAAAUUGCAAUGAAAAUUGUUUGGGUGUUCAAAGCAAUUUUGAUAAGCAAUUUAUUGACCAGCACAGUGAAGAGAUGAGAAUUGAGAAAACUUUUGAAGAUAGUAUUGACUUUAUGGGCAUUAAUAUUUUCACUUGGAAGGUUGCCAAAAAUCUAGUUGAUUUUGUCAAUCGGUUGAAGAUUCUAGAGAGAAACUUUUGCAUUCUUAGAGGGAGUAAGAAGAAGCCAAGAAUAACGAAAUAUUCCAAAUAUCUUUUUAUUUGGAAAGGAAGAUUUCAAUUGGAUGCUAAAAGAUCCAUAAUUAAUAUGAAGCAAUUGAAGAUUCUACUCGGAUUUUCCUCAAUCAAAGGCUUGAAUUCGAGGACGAAUUCUUUCCAACCAUGGGAGUAUGAUGCAGGAGCAUAGUAGUGGAUCAAGAUAGAUAUUUUACAUUUAAUUAGUUAUUUCAUGAUAUAUUGUUAUUUUCUUAUUUAGGUAGUUUUAGGAUAUCUUUUAUUAUUUAUGUGUGAUUUUAUAAUUAAUUAGUUUACUUUUGGACCAAGUAGCCUUGGUGCCUAAGUCUUGUAAAGCCUAUAAAUAAGGCUAAUGUAAUAGUUGUAGGGGAGAUAUGUUGAUGAUUAAUAAAAUAGUUUCUUUGUGGCAUGGAUUUGCUACGAUAUAUGUGAGUUUGCACUAGCCCUAGAUUUCGGUACUCGUGUAUGUGGUUUGUGACCUGUGUCCGGAUCCCGAUCCCCAUCAAUGAGAGUGUAGUAGGUUUCUUGGAUUGAAAAAGAAGAGUAAUCUGACAAUAGGGUGUCGAGGAGUUUGUGUUUUUCUAAAACUUAAUAUGAAGAGUGGUGGGGUGUGUGGGUGUGUGUAGAAGUACUAUGGUUAAGUAUUAAGUUGGAUGAUCUUUUUUGUCUUUUUACACAAUAAUAAAACUUAAGAGCUUAAUGAUAAGUAUUGGAGCGAACAAAUAAAAAUGUGAAGUUUAAAUUGAAAAACUUUAAAAAAAAAAAAAAACCUCCAAAUAUGAAUGCAAUCCUAUCCAAUGACUCCAAUGUCUCUUUCCAUGUAUAUUUUGAUUAUUGAGUUAUAAGCUAAUUUGUAUCCUUAUACCAUGAUUUCCAAUCACACGACAUAAUUAGCAAUAUAUAAUCACAAGUUUUACCGUACAAUUAAUAAAAAAUGUCAAGCGCAUGUCAAAUUUCAAGCUUAGUAGUCACACAGGCCAAAAUAAAUAAAUAAACAUUAAAUAAAAAUAAAAAUAAAAAUAAAAAGCCACAAACCUCAAAUCAUCUAAUUAUCAAUACUGUUACACAAAUCAUAAAUCAAGCCACCUAUUUAAGAUACCGUUGCUAAAAGGCUUGUAUGAACAACAAGAUAUUCAUCUACAGCCCCAAAUGAUUCUUAAGGGUAAGGAAGGGUGGCAAUGUGAUUAUGAGCCACAGUUCCAAUCCACAGUUUGCCCUUUGCUUCCCUAACUUCACUCACAAGUUUCAUAACGGCACCCUUUUGAUCCUCGAGAACUUCCAAAAUUUCCCCCUUCUCAUUGAAGAGGGAGAUCAAUGUGUACAUCUUCAUCCCCAUAAAUCGCGCUAAGUAGGUCAUUCGGAUCGGCAAGCGAAAGUAGACACUCCGUAUCCAUGGAUUGUGAGAGAGGACUUCUUGUGCUGGGGUCCUGCAACAAUCUAUGGCAACCCAGAAUUGGCCCUUCUCAUUUAUUCUUAUGUUGUCUGGAAAACCUGGAAGGUUA